rnacentral:rRNA from 1 species
UGAAGAGUUUGAUCAUGGCUCAGAUUGAACGCUGGCGGCAGGCCUAACACAUGCAAGUCGAACGGUAACAGGAAGCAGCUUGCUGCUUCGCUGACGAGUGGCGGACGGGUGAGUAAUGUCUGGGAAACUGCCUGAUGGAGGGGGAUAACUACUGGAAACGGUGGCUAAUACCGCAUAACGUCGCAAGACCAAAGAGGGGGACCUUCGGGCCUCUUGCCAUCAGAUGUGCCCAGAUGGGAUUAGCUAGUUGGUGAGGUAACGGCUCACCAAGGCGAC